UACGUAGGGCGCAAGCGUUGUCCGGAAUUAUUGGGCGUAAAGAGCUCGUAGGCGGUUUGUUGCGUCUAUCGUGAAAACCUGCGGCUUAACUGUGGGCUUGCGGUGGAUACGGGCAGACUUGAGUUCGGUAGGGGAGACUGGAAUUCCUGGUGUAGCGGUGAAAUGCGCAGAUAUCAGGAGGAACACCGGUGGCGAAGGCGGGUCUCUGGGCCGAUACUGACGCUGAGGAGCGAAAGCGUGGGGAGCGAACAGG
rnacentral:rRNA from 1 species